CUAAGACUCAGUUCACUCUCCUGCACUACCAGGAUCUUCCUGCUACCUGCCUUGCUCCCAGCCCUGCCUUUGUAUAUUCUUUAACCCCCACCCCAGUCUCACAUGUUGACCCGACUACAGGAUCUCUGGACCUGGCAACGGGAAAUAGUCUACAUUCGUGUUUCCUUAUUUGGUAAAACUUUUUUUUUUUUUCUGCAGAAAACUUCAAACCAGUUAUUCAUUCAAGGAUAGAAACACGAAGCUGCUGCAUCAAGAAGCAAAUUCCGGAGUGGAAUUGUGGGCUCCUUGUACCUAAGCUCCAUGUACCUACCUUCACUUGUGGGCCCAGGCCAACGAGAAAGUACAUCCAACUCUCUAGUACUUGUUCAGUUCCUAAAAUAUGCACACGCUCUCCCCAGUCAACUUGCACCAGAUGUUUGUUCUCUCAGACUUGAGUCUUUGAGGAGAUAGGCUUAAUGUUAGAGGUCUAGGGGCUCCCUAGGCAAACCUGCCCCAUAGUUCUGUGUUCAGUAGGUGGGUAAAAAGUGAUAGAAUUGCUUUACAAAUUUCCUAGGGAAUACGUUAGUUUCGCCUUCUAACACCUUUUCUCAUUAAUUCCACUUAGGGGGAUUUAUUGGAGUUUUCAGAUGGUUCCACCAGUUGCAGACAGGUACAUAAAGGGGGGCCCCCAUAUACAUAAGUUUUUGAAUCUGUGGGACCAACAGGAAACCUUCCUUUUUAUCUUCUGAAGGUUCACAAGGAUAACCACAAAUAAAACAGGCGAAAAGACACAAAUGUCUCAAUGUGCGAAAAAGAUGGAGCCUCGCACAGUCCAAGAUUUGAAAAACAGUCAAACAUCUCAAGUUAAAUAUGAAAGAGGGCAGUGGAGAUGAAAGUCAUGUUUAGGAAGAUAGCAAAUUAAUUUUUGGGUGAUGCCAUCAGCUUGGAAAAAAUACAGUGACAUGAAACAAAAGCCUGUCUGGCCUUAGGACAGGGAAUGGUUUGUAAACUACUCUUUAUCGAAUAUCAAACAGGAUCAAAAUAGAGGGCAAUGGUAUGUGGUGAGAUUUUGUUCAGCUGUAUGCACAGACAUCUCCCCUUCGUCCUUGGAGUUUAUUUAUCCUUCUCAGUUUAAUGAAACUUUGGGAGGAUGGAGGAAGGAAAUCCUCUUUCUUUUUGUCAGAUUUGGGAACUACACAGAAUUUAUUCUUCCUGUGUUCAGAGAAGAUUAAAUAAGGGCAAAUCAGAGGUGUCUUAGAUCUUUAAUAAUUGUGUGUGUGUGUGUCUGUCUGUCUGCCUAUUUGUCUCUCUGUGCACGUAUGUAUGCGUGUGCCUCUGUGUGUGUGUGUCUCUGUAUAUGUGUGUAUGAGUGUAUCUCUCUCUCUCUCUUUGUGUGUGUGUGUGUGUGUGUGUGUGUGUGUGUAUGUGUGCAUCUGUCUGUCUGUGUGUAUGUCUCUCUCUGGGUGUAUGUGUGUGUGUUUGUGUCUGUCUGCCUAUUUGUUUCUCUGUGUAUGAGUGUGUGUCUCUCUUUGUGUGUGUGUGUUUGUCUGUCUCUCCGUCUUUGUGUGUAUGAAUAUGUCUAUGUGUAUGAGUAAGUCUGUCUGUGAGUAUGUCUGUGUGUGUGUGUGUGUGUGUGUGUGUGUGUGUGUGUGUGUGUGUGUGUGUGUGAGUGACUGUGCCUGGUCAGCCUGCUUCACCUGCCUGCACCACUCCAGUGCUGGGCUUAAGACAUAGACUGCUGCACACAGCUUUUGACUGCAGUGCUGGGCUAGAACUCAGGCCCUCAGGAUUCAACAAUGAGCACUUGACUGAGCUUCAUCCCGAGUUAUAUCUUAGGCAUUCGAAGCACUGUUUGUUAGGAAUCAUUUUCUGAGGCCUGCAGCCUCCUCUUGAUGCGGAGUGAGCAUCAGUAUGGCCCAUCUUCUAGAGUUCCACAGUCAUGCAGAGACAUGGAGGCAGGGGUUCCUGAGAUGUGGGUUUCCAGGGCUAUCUCAUGUAAGUCCCUUGCCACAGUCCCAAACAACUUGCUUCAUCCUCACACCCGUGCUCUGCUGUCUUGAUCUUGUGGGUUCACCUAGGAGUUAAGGCACUUACGGUCUCAUCCGUACGUGUAAUCAUUUGAAUUUAAUGGAAGCUAUCCCAGAAUCCCUGCUACAUGAUUUGAAGCAGGGAGGCCCCAGAGGUUUUUAAAUGAGUAAGGCUCAUGUGAAGGUGAAGGUGGUUUUCCCAAUUAUAUUCCAAGUUAGAUUUUAUAGGAAACCUUCCCAUCCAGGGCGGGAUACCAGCAUAGCCCAACAGGCUAGUGAGUGGCACAGGAUUGAGGAAUACAGUGUCAAGACCUGACCCUCCCUGGACAGAGACUCAAGAGUGAGAACCAAGCAUCAGGUUGGACCCCAGGAUUCAUCCAAGACUGGAAAUCCCAUGCAUAUCACACAGACUUUGCCUCAGGGGACCAAGGGCAACAGAAUAAAAUACAAACCACUCACAUCCUCAAUUGCAUCUGCAGCUUCCAGAGACGUCCAGGGCUAACUUUUCACUUACUUAAACUAUCACUGAGGUUUAAAAUAAUAAAAAAAAAUCUUUUGAUAUUGAUUCUUAUAAUAGACAAUGGUUUGAAAUCAAACAGCGUGGCAGGUACUUGACCCGAAUCUGCUUUGAAACAGUCGGACUGAAUUCCUGAAAGUGGGGACUGAGGGGCUUCCAGAUUUAGCCUUUGCUAUUGAGCCUGGAACAGGAAGGCUUCACCAUUGCUAUUAAUGUCUGACUUCUCAUAAGAAUGACACUGUAUCACUUUAAGGUCUUAUCUAAGAAACUAAAAAUCCUUUGUACCUUGCUCCUUUGCUUUUUCGGCAUUCUGACAUCUCCAUGAGGAACAAUUGUUCAAUAUGUAAAGUCUAAACGACUCUUUUUAUUGAAUAAAGUAUUGU
rnacentral:lncRNA from 1 species